rnacentral:rRNA from 1 species
AGUGAACGCUGGCGGUAGGCCUAACACAUGCAAGUCGAACGGCAGCACAGUAAGAGCUUGCUCUUACGGGUGGCGAGUGGCGGACGGGUGAGGAAUACAUCGGAAUCUACUUUUUCGUGGGGGAUAACGUAGGGAAACUUACGCUAAUACCGCAUACGACCUACGGGUGAAAGCAGGGGAUCUUCGGACCUUGCGCGAUUGAAUGAGCCGAUGUCGGAUUAGCUAGUUGGCGGGGUAAAGGCCCACCAAGGCGACGAUCCGUAGCUGGUCUGAGAGGAUGAUCAGCCACACUGGAACUGAGACACGGUCCAGACUCCUACGGGAGGCAGCAGAGGGGAAUAUUGGGCAAUGGGCGCAAGCCUGAUCCAGCCAUACCGCGUGGGUGAAGAAGGCCUUCGGGUUGUAAAGCCCUUUUGUUGGGAAAGAAAAGCAGCAGGUUAAUACCCCGCUGUUCUGACGGUACCCAAAGAAUAAGCACCGGCUAACUUCGUG